AGCCCUGUUUAUUUUUUUUUUUUUUUUUUUUUAAACAGUUUUCAAAAGUUCUUAAAGGCAAGAGUGAACUUCUGUGGAUUUUACUGGUCCCAGCUUUUAGAUUCUUUAAGACACUAACAGGACUGUAUAGAGGCUUUUUCAGCAUUACUGUAUUGUCUCCAUGCCAGAAGUGGCAAGAUCAUUGGAAAUGGAAAUUACAUUUGAAAGCCAUUAGACUCCUAGGUGAUGCAUCUUAAAAAAGAGAUUGAUCACACUAAAGAGGCAUAUGUGAAUCAUUUUUCCUUUUUCUAAUUGUUUAAAUCAAAUUUUA